UAAUGAGGUGUUUUAUGGCACUUUUUAAAUCCAUAUCCACCUUGUGUGCAAUGUCAGUCGAUCUUCUUCAUGGAGAUCGACCAAACAUCAACCUUUAUCUUUUAACUCUUUGUCUGAAAAAUAUUAUGAAUAAACAAUUCAAAAUA
rnacentral:misc_RNA from 1 species